rnacentral:rRNA from 1 species
CCUGCUCAAUGAAUUUUAAAUAGCCGCAAUUUAUGUGCAAAGGUAGCAUAAUAAUUUGUUCCUUAAUUAGGAAAUAGAAUGAAAGGAAAAACGUUUUAUAUUCUUUCUUAAAUAUAUAAAUUUAAAUUUAAUUAGAUAUAAAAAUAUAUCUAUAAAUAAAGGUAGACGACAAGACCCUAAGAACUUCAUUUAUAAAUUUUACUGGGGAAGUAAAUAUAAAAAAACUUUAUAAUAUUAAUAUAAUUAAAAAGCUUAAAUUUAAGAAUAAUUAUAGUUACCUUAGGGAUAACAGCAUAAUCUAUACUAAAAGAUCAUAUUUAAGUAUAAUUUUAUGACCUCGAUGUUGAAUAAAUA